GGGGGUGCUGCGUCUGCGUCGCCUGCUUGCCUCGGCGUGCUCAAGACAGACGCGCGAAGAGAGGGCGUGCAGUGGGGGCAGACAGGCAUCAUUGAUGGGCGUGCGCGCCGUGCGGCCGGUCAGUCCAGGCAGCCACCAAUGGCUGAGAAUCUGUAUUUUAGAAUCGAUCCAAACAUGCCCUAGCUCUGCUGCGGCACACAAGCUGGCAGGAAUGCUAAAAUGAUCCGCUGACGUCGGCUGCAGUUCCUCCGCUCCAUUUACCGGAGCGAUCUGGGGGGUGGGGGAGCGGCGGAGCCAGGAGCUAGCCAGCUGAUUGGUGAGCCUCCCGUACGGCCGUAAUAUCACAUAUAUAUCAGUUUGAGUGUUGUGUGUUGAUAGAGUGGAUUACAAGGAACUGGCCAUCGUCAGUGAACUCGAGCCGCAGCUCGCCAUCAUCGAAACCGGAGUAAACCAAGACGAGAUUCAGUUGUGCUGAGGUCUGCAUAGAAGUAUAAAGAGGCAAGGACGAAAAGGGAACCGAAGACGAACCAGUUACCAAGGGAGAGACAUGGAGCACAGGGUGAACAGUGGAGCGUGGGGUGCCAUUUUUAAUUUGUAAACCACUUGACCGGUUAUGGCCUGAAUUUCAUAAGGACCAAAGUAGCGGUAGGAUAUAGGUUGUGACAGACCCUGGAAGUCACCGAAGAUUGAGCACAAGGUUGCAGUUUCAACCAAACUCUAUCUAUCGUCCACUGCAAAUUGGUGUUAUGUACGAUAAUUUUGUCAGCAUAACUUUCCAUAUGUAAUAUUACCUCCGUUUUUGAAUAUUUAUCACCCGCUAGUUCAUUUUUGAA